CAUUAAGUGACUGAAAUGAAAGUAAUGGUCUCUUAAACCAAAAAAUGACAAAAUAUCAAGUGUCCUUAAUGA
rnacentral:tRNA from 1 species